CAAAUGAUUUAAAAUAGGAAGAAAGCAGGUGUCUGGCCCAGAGGACCAGAUUAAGAAGACCCCAUGAGAGUUACAAUAGUUAGUGAAAAUGGUGCUUCUGCAAACCUCAUGUCUACAGAAGCUGGUCAAAGACCAGAUGCCACCAGGUAGAAUCCCAGCAAACUCUUCAAUGGUAGAUAUCUGUCACCAUCCUUAGAAUUCUCUUUUACUCAGGAAAGGGUCAGAUUUUUUGUUCAAUUCAGGCCUUUAACAGAUUGAAUGGGGCUCACCCACAUUAGGGAGGCCAAGCUGCUUUACGCAUUUUGCCAGACUAACGUUUGACCAAAGAUCUGAGCACGUAUGGCCCAGUCAAGUUGACACAUAAUGUUAAUCAUCACAAAAGUCUUGCCUCAAUAGUUGGGAAAAAUUAAUCCUAGAAUAAAUGCUAUUCUGGUCUUGCUUAGCAAAGGUUAAGAGCAAGACCAAAAAGAUCAAACCUUUUCUCCAACCUGGGCGAGAGAGCAAGAUUCCGUCUCCACAAAAAAGAAAGAUACAGAGAUGAAAAAUACACUGAAGACUGUCAGAAUAAACAUUGCACAAGUAAAGAUUUGUGAUUUUGAAGACUUAACCAUAGAAACUAUCCAAAAUGAAGCAGAAAAAAAAAAGAAACCCUGAAAAAAAUACAUGAACACAACAUCAGUAAAGUGAGGGACAACAUCAGGUAGCCAAAUGUGUGUGGAAUUGGAGUCCCUGAAGGAAGGGAGGGUAUGAGGGACCAAAAAAUAUAUAUAGAGAGAGAAAAAAAAAUGGCUGAAAAAUUUCCAAGUGUAAUGAAAGCAGUAAACACACA
rnacentral:lncRNA from 1 species